rnacentral:rRNA from 1 species
UGGGGAAUUGUUCGCAAUGGGCGCAAGCCUGACGACGCAACGCCGCGUGGAGGAUGAAGAUUUUCGGAUCGUAAACUCCUGUCGAGUGGGAAGAACAGUUCUGGGGUGAACAAUCCUGGAGCCUGACGGUACCACUAAAGGAAGCCCCGGCUAACUCCGUGCCAGCAGCCGCGGUAAUACGGGGGGGGCAAGCGUUGUUCGGAAUUACUGGGCGUAAAGGGCUCGUAGGCGGCCAACUAAGGCGGAUGUGAAAUCCCCAGGCUCAAACUGGGAACUGCAUCCGAUACUGGAUGGCUUGAAUUCGGGAGAGGGAUGCAGAAUUCCAGGUGUAGCGGUGAAAUGCGUAGAUAUCUGGAGGAACACCGGUGGCGAAGGCGGCAUCCUGGACCGAAACUGACACUGAGGCGCGAAAGCUAGGGGAGCAAA